AUCUCUUUCAAACCCGGAACAAUCCUUAGCGGCAGUAAUGGCCCAAAUCUCCCGAUAUGGGGAACUUUCGCAUUACCAUCUGAACUCUGCUAAAACGCAAGCAUUACCGAUUAACAUCCCAGAGAGUGUAGUAACGAACCUUCAAAGGGAUCGGAUGUUCGACUGGCAGCCUCGUAGUAUUAAAUAUCUAGGUACAAAUAUGACCACAUCCAUGUCCCACCUUUAUACCUUUAAAUUAUGAAU